CCAAACAGUUUGUAUUUAGAUAAAUAUUUUUAUAAAAUUAUUUUUAUAAAAUUAUAAAGCAGUUGAUGUCUUUGAUGCUUUUUUCAUAAUUUUUUUUUAUUCAAAACGAAGAAAACUGUGAAAAAAUAAAAGGAAAUGUGGCUUGUAAAGUUAAUAUUACUGAUAUUGUGGUUUUAAGUCUCUGUUUUACAAAGAACCAUUAUAAAAACUGAAGAUUUUGACUGUAGUAAAAGUAUUGUUCCUUCGCCAUGCAACUGGCGAUACUUGACAUAUUUCCCAAACUUUUUCCGAAUUGGUUCAUUUGAAAAUGUUGUUGUUCUAAUUCAUGGAUUUAAAAAUCAAGUUGUUGUAAAUAUCACCUUGUACGACAAUAAUGAAAGAAAACCUUAUUUAUCAAAGUUAUUCAAUAUUCAACCAGAUUGGUUUUGAAAAUGAAUCGACUAUUAAAGAUAUUGAAUUAAUUGGAAAAAGUGUUGUAUUUUACUUUGACAAGAUAAGUAACAAUGGUAGCUGUGUUAGUUUUCGAAUUGAUCAAACUUCAAAAGUAGAAAUUACGAAAUCUGCAGCUAUUAAAGUUUAUGACUAUUAUGACACAGGCAAAUCUGCUACUAUUUUCUACGACGUGUCAGAAAUGCAAUGUCAUUUGUAAGGACGUCUUUCGAACUAUUUUUUAUUUGUAAAUUUAAAUUUUACUCAUUUAUAUUUUAAAAACAAAAUUUAAAUCGAUUUUGUAAAUUUAUUUAAUUUUAAUUCUUGUAAUUUUUAUUAUAAAA